GUUCUCCCCGGAGCUUCUCUUUUCCCUCCGUUUCAGGUCCUUGACCACUCGAUUCAGAGACAAGAUCGUUGACAGCUAAGAUCGGCCAAAUCGUGCACCAUCAGGACAUAUUAGGCUCUAUGAUUCAUCUUUCCUGUGUCUCCGAUGAAGAGGGGUUCUAUACCACCAUUUUCCACGUAGAUUUUGGGGCAAUACAGGGAGAGCAACUACAGCUUGCAGGCUUGACGGUUCAGACCUUGCGGCCUCAGCCGCGGAGCCUGUGGAGAGUGGAAACUUGGCGGAAAAGGAAGUAGGAGAUAAAUAGAUGAUGGUGGUGAUGAUUUAUAGUGUUAAGGCAGAGGUGGAGGAGAUGGGAGUUGUUAGUCUUGCAACAAUGCCGCACCCAAAGAGACGGUAACCGAUCAGCUGAUCCUACAUACCAGUCCCUGGAAGCACCGACACUGGCACAAGAAAAUGAGGCCAAAGACAACUCCUUUCGGAUGCAGGCAGGCCGAGUGGCCAAUGCUGCUAUUCCGCGGGGUUGACUCAGCUCUUCGCUGACGGAGACCCCGUCAACGAUAAACUCAGCCAACGCGUUAUUGUCCAGAACAACCAUUUGGGUCUAUUAAAAUAUCUGAAAUUUGCAGUCUCAUUGUUGGUGUGAUUUGAAGUGUGUACUACUUUCUGUAGGGCCCUCUUCUCUGAAGUGGGGUUAUGGAAGAAGUAACCGAGAAGGGUCUCGGAAGAUAAGAUAGACGUUUCUGGAAGCUGCAAUCGAUGCUAAGGAAUUAUAGAAGAAGCCUGAGCUUUUAUAUUACUGAUAAAAGACAGAAAAAAAAAGAGCUUGUCCCUUACUUCACUAGCAAUACUAUCUUUUGGGUGUUCUCAGACAUGGCGGAAGCAGUUCUUUCCACUCUUUUGCAGGCUAUAUUUGAGAAGACAGUGUCUGAGGUAUUUGAAGAGUUUGGAUUGUUUGGUGGCGCUAAGAAGGAGGUGAAAAAGCUUCGGAGCACAUUAUCAACAAUUCAAGCUGUGCUUGAAGAUGCGAAGGACCGACAGGUAACUGAUAAGGCACUAAGAAUUUGGCUGAGGAACCUGAAAGAUGUAGCUUAUGAUGCGGAUGAUUUGUUGGACGAAUAUUUGAUUGAAGCUCUGCACAAGAAAGUGGAGACUCAUCAUAUUCAUGCGACGAUUCGAGAUCAUAUAAGAAAACAGGUGCGGAACUUCUUUUCAACUUCAAAUCCUUUUAUUUUUCACUAUAGGAUGAGACGUCAGUUGAAGGAGAUUGGUGAAAGGCUAGAUUUAAUUGCCGGUGAGAGGUUCAAGUUUCAUUUGAAAGAUAGAAUUAUUGAUAGGAGAGAUGGGUUAAUUGGGAGAUUGCAGACUGAUUCUUCUUUAGUUGAAUCAGAAAUUUAUGGAAGAGGAGAUGAUAAAGAGAAAAUAAUUAAGUUUCUAAUUCAUGAAGGAAAUGAUGAUGAUGUAUCAGUCAUCCCCAUUGUUGGCAUGGGGGGCCUAGGAAUGACAACACUUGCAAAAUUGGCCUACAAUGAUGAGAGGGUUGUGAGACAUUUUGAACAAAGAAUUUGGGUUUGUGUCUCAGUGGAUUUUGAUGUUAGAAUGCUUGUAAGAGCUAUUAUAGAAUCGGCAACUGGCAAGAGAUGUGAUUGUUUAGAUAUGGAACCAAUGCAGCGUCGCCUUAAAGAAAUGUUAACCAGGAAGAGAUUUUUACUAGUUUUAGAUGAUGUAUGGAAUGAAGAUUAUGAGAAGUGGGAUAGAAUGAAACUUCUUCUAAGAUGUGGUGCUGGGGGAAGUAAGAUCAUUGUAACUACUCGUAGUGAGAAGGUUGCAUUGAUUACUGGCACAGUCACUUCUCACGGUCUGGAUGGUUUACCUGAAGAUGCUUGUUGGUCUCUAUUCAAGCAACGAGCAUUUCAGUUUGAGAAUGAAAAAGAAUCCUCAAGUUUAGUAUCAAUUGGGAAGGAAAUUGUGAAAAAGUGUAGGGGUGUGCCUCUAGCAGCAAAGACCCUUGGAAGUUUGAUGUGCUUUAAAAGAGAAAAAAGUGAGUGGUUAUCUGUUAAAGACAGUGACAUCUGGGAUAUAAUUGGAGGUGAAAAUGGAAUUUUACCUGCCUUAAGAUUGAGUUAUGAUAAUCUACCAUCAUAUCUGCAACAAUGUUUUGCAUAUUGCUCAAUAUUUCCUAAGGAUUAUAAGAUGAAAAGAGAGAAACUCAUCCAUCUUUGGGUUGCAGAAGGCUUCGUUCAGGCAUCUGGAGGAAAUAAGCCAUUAGAAGAAGUUGGUAAUGAGUAUUUCAAUGAGCUAUUAUGGAGAUCAUUUUUUCAAGACGUAAUAAAAGAGAGUGAUGGAAUAAUACUGGAGUGCAAGAUGCAUGACCUUGUUCAUGAUCUUGCAAGGUCUGUUGCAGGUAUUGAUUGUUCAAUUGUGAAUGCUAACAAGCAAGUAACAAUUCCAAUAGGAGUACGCCAUUCCUCAUUGGUUUGUAAUGAAAUGGUGUUAGCACUUCCAGGUGUUCUCCCUAAUGCAAAGAACCUACGCUCGUUCCUUUUAUUAUUUGGUUGGCGCAAAAUCUCAAGGGUCUCACGUAAUCUGAUAUUAAGUUUUAGAUCCUUGCGUGUGUUAGAUUUGAGCUACAGUGGAAUUAAGAAAUUGUCCAAGUCAAUUGCUACACUGAAACAUUUAAGGUACCUUGACCUUUCAGGCAAUUUUAUCAAAAUGUUACCCAAAUCUAUUAGCAGCCUUUGUAAUCUCCAGACCUUGAAUCUCAUACAAUGUCAUCAACUUCAAAGGUUACCCAAAGACAUGUGGAAAUUGACCAAUCUUAGACAUCUUGAUAUACAUGGAUGUUGGUCAUUAGAAAAGUUGCCAACAGAUAUUGGAAAGCUUAGGUUCCUUCAAACAUUGCCAAUAUUCAUAGUGGAUGAGGUACAUGGAUGUGGCAUAGAAGAGUUAUCGAGAUUAAACCUUCAAGGUGAAUUAAUGAUUAAAAACCUUCAGAAUGUGAGAAAUGCAGCAUGUGCAAAGCAGGCAAACAUGCAAGAGAAGAGAAAGCUUCAAUUUCUGGGAUUAUCAUGGAAGACUUGGAAGCGUGAUGAUGGUACAAAUGUUGAUGGUGCAAGUGUUCGAGAUAAUGUUGAGCGUGUGCUUGAAUACCUCCAACCACACCCAGAUUUAAAAAGUUUAGCACAUCUUCAUGAUAACAAGGAGAUGGCGGAAAGAAAAAACAUGUUUUUGUUAGAAGAAGAUGUACUACACUAGGUCCAGAUGGUUACCAUAGCAUGGCAGGACACAGUCAAGUGGCAAUGGUGGAAUCAUCAGGAACACAGAUGUUCUCUCUAAGGUUGCCGUUGAUGAUCUGUUCUACCUCUGAUCUGUGAUCUAUUUUUGGAGUGAAAAUUCUGUAGAGGAUUGGAAGUUGGAAUCUGAGUUUGGUGGAAUGGAUCUUGAAUCUGCUUCUCAGAACUGGGAAUCUAUUUUGGUGGGUUUAGUUUCUUUGCGUGUUUGUUGAAUUUUAGUUUGAAUGUCGACUGUCAUGUUGGUUGGUAUUUUAGGGUUUUGGAUUCCUUUGGACUUUAAACUUUUAUGCUUGAUGUGUUGUAGUUAUUUAGUUUCGAGGCAUAAAGGAACUAAUCUAUAUUUCUACUAAAACUCAGUUUUCUGUGUUUCUGUUGAGUAUAUUAGAAUAUAGAGUAACACCAGUGUUACUGGACGGACAUUUCUUAAUUUUAAGUGGUUUUCAAUAAAUAUUUGAUUUUCUUUUCCUGUUAUUGCUGCUCUGUCGAUUGCUAAUGUAAAAAGAAUUGAUGCUCUGCUAUUCUCUGGGUUGUAAGUUUUUUCCUUCUUUCACUCUUUUCGACAAGGAAUUUAAGUUAUUGGUCCCUCUUGCAUGUUUGAUUUUGGACUUAAUCUUUUUAUUUUAUUGCUUCUGCUUGUUUGUUUGCAAAUGGUUUUCAUUGAUUUUUUCUUCUUUUGAAUUGUAUGUUUUAUGCAUGAUGUUUGGAGGAGGAUUUAACCAGUUGGUUGAUUUUACUGAAUUAUUUGAUGUUUUUUAUGCAAUUUGAUCCUUUUGCAAUUUCUUUGCUGGGGCUACGUCUGCAAAAUCUAUACUUUUGCUCUUUUUAUUGAUUUUGGUUUUGUUUCCUUAUUUGGUUUCAAUUCUCUUGUUCCCUUCACACUGUAUUAAAAUCUUCUAAGCUCAGGACCAUAAAUUGAUUUUUAAGGAUUUUCACCAUGCCUUUUUAUUCUUUUUAGCUAUUCUUAGUUUUGAAUUCUUUCUCAUUUUCGGGAAAAUGGCAUUAUCUAAUUUCCAAAUUAUUAUUAUAAUUUAUUGCGUUUAGCUCUUUCCCCAUCUUUUGUGUGUUUUCUAUUAAAUUCAUUCCUGUCAUUUUGAUUCGUAAAGGGUUAAAUGGUCUCAUGGUUCCCUUCUUUGCAGAAAGCACACAAGACCACACUUUCUGGCCUACCAGAGUUUUGGGGUCAUGUAUGGAGACCUGAGCACAUCCCCCAUGUAUGUCUACAAAAGCACUUUCUCAGGGAGGUUCCACCUUCACAAGGAUGAUAAUGAAAUUUUUGGGGUACUCUUUUUAGUUUUCUGGACUUUGACUCUGAUCCCUUCACGAGGAUUAUAUUUGUAUUAAGGUCGGAUUUUAUUUCUAGUAGUGCAUUUGUGAGAGCUUAUUCAAUAGCAUCCCUUGUUGAUGAAGCUCCUAGGGUGUUCAACGGGAUGCCCAAACCAGAUUUGCUUAUGUGGAAAUCAAUAGUUUCAGGUUAUGGGCCUUCUUGAUGCUGGGAUAAGGGCUUGGAAUGGUUUAGCAGAAUGCAGGAAAUAGGGGAAAGGCUAGAUGGGUAUACCAUGUUUGGAUUUCUCUCAGGUUUAUUGGAACCUAUCAUGCUUCAAGUUGGAAAGGGGAUUCAUGGUCUUUGUUUGGAAAAUGGAUUUGAGUCGUACACACAUGUGGGAAGUGCACUUGUGACUAUGUAUUCAAGGUGUGGUUACUUGAGUUCUGCUUAUAGAGCUUUUAAUAGUUGAUCUCAGCAUGAUUUGGUUCAAUGGUCUGCUCUCAUACUGGAUUCAUUCAAUCAGGAGCUUGUGAAGAAGCCAUGUUCUUGUUCAAGGAAAUGAAUUUCAAGGGCCAAAAAGCAGAUGCUAUUUCAAUUGCUUGUAGAAGUUGUCUAAAAACUAUGGCAGCAUUUGGUAAUGUAUCAAGGGAAGGUUUCUGGUGUUACCAGGUACCAGAAACAUUCCCAUGGAAUGUUACCAAAUGGUUCCUAAUAUACCUUAAUUUUGCAUCUCCCAUGUAAAGAUUUUGAAGGUCCCUUUGCUAAAUAAAGAUUUACCCUUUGAUGGUCUGAAUAGUCUAACAUGUUUUAUGCAACUAAUCCAAUACGUUUUCAAGAGUUAAAAUUUUCAUCUUCUGUCCCACAUUAUUUGGAGUUGAUACUGAGACAAUUGUCUUUAACAACAUUUAUAUGUAUGUACAUUAAGAUUGGAAGGGAAAGAAUUCAAUUCAUUUUAGGUCCUGGUGAUGCCAAUUCAGCAAAUACACUAUAUGAGUCAACUGGUUCAGAAUGCUAAUUGGACAACAACAAUAUUGUAGUAUUGGACUUAAACCAGUGUGAUACAAAAUCAGAUAUUUAUGUUUAAUUGUUCAAACAGAAAAGGCAAGUGAAAAUUGGCCAACAUAAAGGACAUUUAUGCUAAGUUUCCACUCAUCUCCUCUCCUCUGUAUAUUUAAGUCCAUUAUCAGAUAACCUCAGUGUUCAGAUAGUAUUUGGAAAGUAUAAUAGCCAUUCCUGAAAGAUACUGCCAAGACUCAAUUUCCAUUUAUGAACCCUCAUGCAGUUUCCUUUCUGUGGAGUUACUCUUUAAAGGCCCAGAUUUCAUGUUAUUAGUUCCAAAAAUUAAACCAUUUGAUGUU